rnacentral:rRNA from 1 species
GUCUCCUUGAGGCAUACGGCUUAACCCAAACUCUCAAAGUUUGACCUCAAAUCAGGUAGGAGUACCGGCUGAACU